rnacentral:tRNA from 1 species
ACCCAGCUGGUUCAGUUAGUAGAACAUGCAACUCUGGAUCUCAGGGUUGUGAGUUCAAGCCCCAUGUUGGGCG